GCAGUGGUGGUUCAGUGGUAGAGUUUUCGCCUCCCAUGCGGAAGACUUGGGUUCGAUUCCCUGCCAAUGCA